UACGAAGGGGGCUAGCGUUGUUCGGAUUUACUGGGCGUAAAGGGUGCGUAGGCGGAUUUUUAAGUCAGGGGUGAAAUCCCAAGGCUCAACCUUGGAACUGCCUUUGAUACUGGGGAUCUUGAGUCCGGGAGAGGUGAGUGGAACUGCGAGUGUAGAGGUGAAAUUCGUAGAUAUUCGCAAGAACACCAGUGGCGAAGGCGGCUCACUGGCCCGGAACUGACGCUGAGGCACGAAAGCGUGGGGAGCAAACAGG
rnacentral:rRNA from 2 species